CCAAAACACAAAAACUUAACUCUGAGCAAUGAACCAUGAAAAUGAGGCCAAGGACAAAUAAAACCUGCACAACUGACAUGUACAUCAUACAUUAUUUCCAUACACCAAAUAUAGUUCCCCGUUUGCAUACAGUAUUAGAGAAAAAAAGACCAAAACUAAAAAAAAAACUUAACUUUGACCACUGAACCAUGAGGUCAAGGUCAGAUGACACCAGCCAGCUAGACAUGUACAGCUUACAAUCAUUCCAUACACCAAAUAUAGUAGACCUAUUGCAUACAGUAUAAGAAAAACAGACCAAAACACAAAAACUUAACUAUAACACUGAAC
rnacentral:lncRNA from 1 species